UACAGAGGGUGCGAGCGUUAAUCGGAAUUACUGGGCGUAAAGCGCACGUAGGUGGCGACGUAAGUCGGGUGUGAAAGCCCCGGGCUCAACCUGGGAAUUGCAUUCGAGACUGCAUUGCUGGAGUACGGAAGAGGAGGGCGGAAUUCCCGGUGUAGUGGUGAAAUGCGUAGAUAUCGGGAGGAACAUCAGUGGCGAAGGCGGCCCUCUGGUCCAGUACUGACACUCAAGUGCGAAAGCGGCGGGAGCAAACAGG
rnacentral:rRNA from 1 species